UAGCCGAUUCACGUCUCUCCCUUUAGUAGCAGCGUUUGCACCCACUCAUCAUUACCCCCGCGAUAGUCUUUCUUCCUAUUCCCGUGCUUCACGGCAUUGCCAGGCACGUGUACACGCAUUCAUUGCUUCGUACCCCCACCCCCCACCCCCGCACGCAGGCACGGUGGCUCGCCAUUCUACAACCGCUGUCGCUCACUCACCCCCAUUCGUAAACGCGAGCGUAUCACAUCACCAUGUCGAAUCUCCUCUUGACGCCGCACAAGUGUCUCCCUCGCCGCAAACUGCUGAUUGUGGUGAUGGACGGACUUGGCAUCGGCCCGGAGGAUGAGUACGAUGCGGUGCACAUGGCUUCGACCCCGUUCAUGGACGCGCAGCGCCAGGACAGCCGCCGCUUUCGCUCCGUCCGAGCGCACGGUACCGCCGUGGGCCUUCCCACCGACGCCGAUAUGGGCAACAGCGAGGUGGGCCACAACGCCCUCGGCGCUGGACGCGUGGCCCUCCAGGGUGCCUCCCUGGUCGACGACGCGCUGAAGAGUGGCGAGAUCUACACUGGCGAAGGGUAUCGCUACCUCCUCGGCGCCUUCACCAAGGAAGGCAGCACGCUGCAUUUGAUUGGCCUGCUAAGCGACGGUGGCGUGCACUCGCGGGACAACCAGAUCUACUCGAUCAUCGAGCACGCCGCCAAGAAUGGCGCCAAGAGGGUUCGUGUGCACGUGCUCUACGAUGGCCGCGACGUGCCCGAUGGCUCUUCGUUCCGCUUCACAGAGGAGCUAGAGGCGGUGCUGGCAAAGGUGCGCCAGGACGGCUGCGAUGCGGCGAUUGCUAGCGGUGGUGGCCGCAUGUUCGUGACGAUGGACCGCUACGACGCCGACUGGAGCAUUGUGGAGCGCGGCUGGAAGGCGCAGGUGCUCGGCGACGCUCGCCACUUCCACAGCGCGAAGGAAGCCAUCACGACGUUCCGCGAGGAGGACCCCAAGGUGACGGACCAGUACUACCCGCCCUUCGUCGUAGUAGACGAGCAGGACAAGCCGCUCGGCACCAUCGAGGACGGCGACGCCGUUCUCUGCGUUAACUUCCGUGGCGAUCGCGUGAUUGAGAUGACGCGCGCUUUCGAGGAUGAUGACUUCGACAAGUUCGACCGCGUGCGCGUGCCGAAGGUCCGCUACGCCGGCAUGAUGCGGUACGACGGUGACCUCGGCAUCCCGAACAACUUCCUCGUGCCGCCGCCGAAGCUGACCCGCGUGAGCGAGGAGUACUUGUGUGGCACUGGGCUGAAGAUCUUCGCCUGCUCGGAAACGCAGAAGUUCGGCCACGUGACUUACUUCUGGAACGGCAACCGCAGUGGCAAGAUAGACGAGGACCACGAGACCUUCAAGGAGGUGCCGAGCGACCGUGUCCACUUCAACGAGCAGCCGAAGAUGAAGUCAGCCGAGAUCACCGAGGCGGCCAUCGAAGCCUUGAAGAGCGGCAUGUACGAUGUGGUGCGCAUCAACUUCCCCAACGGCGAUAUGGUUGGCCACACGGGCGACCUCAAGGCUACCAUUGCCGGCGUCGAGGCGGUGGACAAGUCACUGGCGAAGCUCAAGGACGCGGUGGACAGCAUCAACGGCGUCUUCAUCGUGACGGCCGACCAUGGCAACUCUGACGACAUGGCGCAGCGCGACAAGAAGGGCAGGCCGAUAAAGGAUGAGAAGGGGAAUGUGCUCCCUCUCACCUCCCACACCCUCUCCCCGGUUCCCGUGUUCAUUGGUGGUGCGGGCCUCGACCCCCGCGUGGCGAUGCGCACAGACCUGCCAGCGGCGGGUCUCGCGAAUGUCACCGCCACAUUCAUUAACUUGCUUGGCUUUGAGGCGCCGGAGGACUACGAGCCAAGCCUGAUCUAUGUCGAGAACUGAGGCCGGAGUUGCUGAGGAGGGUGAAGUCACAACUAAUACCCACCCAUGCUUCACCUCACCCACCGCGCCUCCCCCUCUUCCCUCCCUUCCUCAACGACGUGCACGCAUGCACCCAUCAAAAGAGCCCCCUCCAUCCUUCCUUGGCUGGCUUUCCCGUAUUAGCGCUGCUCGUGAGCUGCCUUGCCUGUGAUGUUUUUUUUUUUUUUGAGGGAGGGCACGCGUAGCGCCGGUGCCGGCGCACACAGAGUUCGGAGGCAAGGGCAACGGAAGGAGCACAAGUGCACGCUAGGGGCAUCGCCGGUGUGGCUGCACCUCCAUCCGAUCCCUUUUUCACCGCGGGAUCGCGCAGCAGAUACACGGCCCAGCACCAACCCGUGCUUUCCACUCCACGGAUGUGGAGCCGUAAACGGUGUUGCCGCUGUUAGGUGAACUGCGCUCCUCCCAACUCCCCCUUUCCUCCACACACACGCGCAGGUGCACACGCACGCGUACGCGCGUCCAGUGUGCGCGUUGUAAGGGAACAGGAAAAAGUAAAACGAGGUUCUUGCUUUAUUCUAUUUAUUUGAAUGUACGCCAAAGACAAAGGAGGCGCGAGGGCGAGCUUCCUCCCUCCCCCAUUGCGUGAUUUCGAAAGUGUCGCGGCGACGCUAGAUCUCUUCUCGUCCGGAUUGUGCUCUCGAUGAGAGCGCGGUUCUCCUCACCACCGCCCCACGCACCCACCUCAACCACAGAGUGACCCUCUCUCGACUCCGCUCAUGCGCCCCUUCAUGCAGCUAACGGCGAUGCAACGGCCAGGGGCCAUGGCUCGACGGCAGGAGGAGAUGGACAAGUGCCAGAGGCGCGGGGGAGGGGGCGGGGGCUCCUGUGGUACGAGAAUGGACGCCUUUUCUUUCCUGUCCUCUUUUUUUUUUACCAGAGCUUAUGCACAUACAGACACGCGUACAUGUGUCUUUCGCCUGUUGCCGCGGAUUGCUUCCGAUGCUUAGCUGUUUCCUCUCUGCCUUCCAUCACAACAACGACUCAAAUCUGAAGCAGCAGCGGGCGGGCGGACGCACUGGAACGCACCGUGCAAUAUUAGACGCUUCUGCGUUUCCUCCGCGCUAGUGGAGGAUAGGGGCUCCAACGAGAAGCGGGGGCGGUCAUAUUCUUUUGUUUGCGUGACCCGCACCAUCUCGAUUCUCACUUCGGGAUCGUGCGUGCGUGGCGUGGAGUUGCGGUUUCGCGUGUC
rnacentral:misc_RNA from 1 species